rnacentral:pre_miRNA from 1 species
UUUGUACUCCCUCCGUCCCAAAAUUCUUGUCUUGAAUUUGUCUAAAUACGGAUGUAUCUAGUUACAUUUUAGUGUUAGAUACAUCCGUAUCUAAACAAAUGUAAGACAAGAAUUUUGGGACGGAGGGAAUACCAC